UCCUUUCUUCUUGGCAAAUUUUAUUUAAUUAAUUAAUUAAUUAAGAAUAUUUUUCCAUGGUUACUAGAUUCAUGUUCUUCCCCUCCCCCCCCCAGCAGACCCGCAAUUCCACUGGGUUUUACAUGUGUCAUUGAUCAAGAUCUAUUUCCAUAUUAUUGAUAAUUGCACUAGGGUGAUCGCUUAGUCUAUGUCUCCAUCGAACCACGUGACCAAGCAGUUGUUUGUCUUCUGCGUUUCUGCUCCCACAGUUCUUCCUCUGGAUGUGGAUGGUGUUCUUCCUCAUAAAUCCCUCAGAAUUUAAAGCCCUUUCUGAGUGGAUCGUAAAGCCCUGGAGGGCAGAUAGUCUCAUUCCCAGAGUAACCCAGGUAGCGGAAACCCUUCCUGAGGCUAAAGAAGCCCGAAAAUCGGCACCUGCUAGCCCUGCUUACGGGAAGGACCCGUGAACCAGGACCAUACACUGGCCGGGUUCUAGAGCCCAGGGUCCUGUGGGCACCUAAAGGCAGAGAGGGGAAGUCACAGGGGGCUAGCCUCUCCCCCUCCCGCCGCCUCUUCUCCGGGUUCUCAAUGGGCCGUUGUCUGCCCGCUUAGCACUCCAGGGUGUUUACGGUCCUGCUCUGCCCAGCCUCCGGACCAGGGAGCCAGAAUCGGCUCAGUGAUGGCAGCUGUCCCGCACGCGGCGUCCCCCUCAAGUCUUUCCUACCCCUAACGCGGAGAUGAGCUAAGGGAGGAGGCUGGGCUGGGACGAGCGUCUCCUCUAAAAUUAAAGAUCUUCAAGCUGCUCUGGGAGAACGCCCAGAUCCUGGGUUCUUGGCCUUUGGAUCCCUUCUCAGAACCGUAUUUUUAAGUAAUUGAAGGAAAUAGCCCAUUUCAAUGGAGAGUCAGCAGUGCCAUCCCAGAGGGGGCUCCGAGUCCAAGCCACCGAGCUCCCGGCUCCUGUCUCCAGCUUCACUGUCUAGCAGGAGAGGAGCUGUCCAAGGCACAGGAGAAUUGAAUCAGUGUCUGGGCCCAAAGAGGCAGGAACCAAUCAGCCUCGCCAAAUGGUACAAGUCCAGCUCCUGCACCCAUCCAGCAAAGGCCCUGCAUACACACUGCGGGACUCUCCCUGCUGCACCGGGUAGGCAGGGCCAAGACGGGCUGAGCCUAUCAGGGCUGAGCAGGAACCCUGGCCAGAGACUCCAUUCUCCUGUUCCUGCCUGCAGAGGCAAGGGGGGGGGGGGACCUCAGGGGCUCUGGGGACACACCCAUUUUAUCUUUCUUUGGUUUAAAGCCUCUCAGGUGUGGGGAUCUGGGUCACCUGCCUUGGCUGGAAAGCCGAGCUGGCCGGGGGCUCAGGAGGAGACCUGGGAGGUUUUUGGGGAUACCCCAACUUUAUCACCUCUCCACACUGUAAGGCACACCCAGAGGGCAGAGGUAUAUCUGUCCACCUAA
rnacentral:lncRNA from 1 species